UGGGCAAUGAGGAAAACAAUUUCAAAACACCAUCUUUCGGGACUGAAUGGCUUCUAAAGCCUUGCUGUUAUUCUGCAAUUCUGAGCCCC
rfam:Gossypium hirsutum cultivar TM-1 chromosome 19, whole genome shotgun sequence